AGCCCGCCCACGCUGCCCGCCGCCGGCGCGGGUGCCCUCGCCCCCCGUGCCCCGGGCGUGCCCGGGGCCCCCUCCGCCCGGCUGCUGCCGCCACGCCCGGGUGAGCGCGGGCAACGUUGCGGGAGACACGGAAUUCUAGCCCCGCGGGCUGUCACUGAGCCUUCCCCGCCUCUUCCACGAACGUCUGCCCUCUGAGCACAAAUCAGGUGCUUGAUAGACAUCAGGACAAGACCAGAUGGGGCUCUAGGACAGCCAGCUGGCAAGGGUCAAAGGAGCAUGUUCCCAGUGCACACCCUAAAGGGCUUCAGGAGGAGGUGCGGCUGCUCACGAGGGACUCCCAGCCCUGAGCCCCCAGACCCUCUGUCCAGAAGCCAGCCAAGCCAGAGAGGUGUGGAGAGGCCAUGGGAGGGAGAGCAAGGGCACAGUGUCCAGUUGGGAAGUGAGGGACUGUGUCCUGCAACUGUGAACAGCGAUGUGGCUCUGCACGUGAUGAUUCCUCAUCAUGGAGAUUGCCCAGGUUGGUUUCUCCUAAGGCUGACGGCCCAUGAGGAGCUUUCUUCACGGACAACCCACCCUCAAGAAGUCAAGUGAGAGGGGGGCACCCUUCAGGAGGGGCUUUGGGAACGGGGCCUGUUGUGUGGUCUGGCCGCAGAGUGGAGGGGACUAGAUGGCAGGUGGGGAACUGACACAUUCAGAGAGAGUGGGUCCGGGAAGCCUGCAUGCGGGGUUGGGCCUGGCUGCACACAGGGCGGCAGGUUAUGCCUGUGUUUUCAGAGCUGAAGGGGCUUAAAGAUCACAUUUCAUUGCAGAGGGAAGAGGUUGAGGCCCAGAUCCACUCAGGCCACUAGGCUCGAGCCAGAAAGCCCCUCCAGGGCCUCAACGGCCUCCUGUGCCCUUUUCCUUCUCACCAGGACCCUGCUCUUCCUUCCUCAUCCAUCACUGACUUCAAGGACUCGCAGACCUCUGUCACAAGCUGGGUUACUUUCAUUUCCCUCUUCUUCUUUAUAUUAAAUGUUAAAUAUACAAAAAUGCAUAUUGGCCUCUUGGAUGACUGGGUCCUAGGUGAGCAGGAGUUAGAAGGCAGCACCAGCUGACAGCAGCACAGAACAGCAAUAAUGGUGCCCACUGGGUGGCCAGUCACACACACCUAUUUCCCCAAGUGACUCUCAAGACCAAGCAGCCACGCAGUCACCCUAGUCACCUCAUUUCUACAGAGGAGAAAAGAGAGACUCAGAGUGAACAAGCAGCCCACCCAAAGUCACAUAGCAUGCUCAGAUGGGAGCAGGUCAAGAGCCCGGGCCUCUGACUGCAACUUUCCUAUUGGGAGCCUCAGGGUAGAGGGAGGGUCUGUCCAGACCUGGAAGGGCAGGGGUCCACAGAUGUUCACUUGCCCCUGGAAGGGGCCUAGAGGCUGCUGCUAACUGCUCCCCAACAGACAGAGCUCGUUGCGAUCUGACUGCCCCCCUCUCUCACUAGUCAGAGUCACAUCCGACAGUGUAGGGAGCCCAGUGUGGCAGGUAUUGCCAGCAGAAUUCACCUUAUGUGGACAGGAAGCUCAGGGAAACAUGGCUCCAGCAGUCCCACUGACGGGCACAGACUGGCCACUCAAGUCUUGCCACGAUGCAGGCCAAGCACCUUCCUGAAAUAACUUGUUCCACUCUCAGAACGAGGCUAGGGGUGCUGAUGUCACUGUCAUCCCCAUUCAGAUGGGGAAACUGAGGCCCUGACUGGUUAGGUAGUAUGUGCAAGGCCUCACAGCUUCAUGGAGUUGCACAAGGAGCCAAAUAUGGGCAAGACUCUACCAAAAUGUGUAAGGAGGUGAGCUCCUGGCAAGGACAAGAGAUGGCUGUCUCCCCAAGGAGGCCCUGAGAACACAGCCGUCAUCGGCGCUCAAGGGAAAGGCAGUGGGCAGGCUUUUCAGUCUGCGCAGGAGGAGGGAGCUAAGGCCGAUCCUGCCGCAGCUCUGAGACCAGAGCAGACAGCAAGUCUUCCCCUGGUCACCAAGGCCAAAGGCAGCCCGCCAGCGGGUGCACCGAAGCGAGCAGCUGCUCCAAUCAGAGAUACCUUUUUUUUUUUUCAUUGGGGCGAAAGCUUUAUUGGAACAUGUUCCAAAGAGAUGCAGGGGGAGAGGAAAUGGAGACAACUCUUUGACAAAUGUUGCUGAAAAGGGGGUGGUGAUGACAUUUUUGUUUGUUUGUUUGUUUGGAGAGGGCAUCUCUCA